ACUCCUCGGAGGCAGCAGUGGGGAAUAUUGCACAAUGGGCGCAAGCCUGAUGCAGCCAUGCCGCGUGUAUGAAGAAGGCCUUCGGGUUGUAAAGUACUUUCAGCAGUGAGGAAGGUGGAUAUGUUAAUAGCAUAUUCAUUUGACGUUAGCUGCAGAAGAAGCACCGGCUAACUCCGUGCCAGCAGCCGCGGUAAUACGGAGGGUGCGAGCGUUAAUCGGAAUUACUGGGCGUAAAGCGCAUGCAGGUGGUUUGUUAAGUCAGAUGUGAAAGCCCGGGGCUCAACCUCGGAAUUGCAUUUGAAACUGGCAAACUAGAGUACUGUAGAGGGGGGUAGAAUUUCAGGUGUAGCGGUGAAAUGCGUAGAGAUCUGAAGGAAUACCGGUGGCGAAGGCGGCCCCCUGGACAGAUACUGACACUCAGAUGCGAAAGCGUGGGGAGCAAACAGGAUUAGAUACCCUGGCCGGCUCUGC
rnacentral:rRNA from 1 species